AUUGAACGCUGGCGGCAGGCCUAACACAUGCAAGUCGAGCGGAUGAAGGGAGCUUGCUCCUGGAUUCAGCGGCGGACGGGUGAGUAAUGCCUAGGAAUCUGCCUGGUAGUGGGGGAUAACGUCCGGAAACGGGCGCUAAUACCGCAUACGUCCUGAGGGAGAAAGUGGGGGAUCUUCGGACCUCACGCUAUCAGAUGAGCCUAGGUCGGAUUAGCUAGUUGGUGGGGUAAAGGCCUACCAAGGCGACAAUCCGUAACUGGUCUGAGGGGAUGAUCAGUCACCUUGCAAAUAGAACGCGUCCCAGCCACGAACGGGAGGCGCAGAGGGGAAUAUUGGACAAUGGGCGAAAGCCUGAUCCAGCCAUGCCGCGUGUGUGAAGAAGGUCUUCGGAUUGUAAAGCACUUUAAGUUGGGAGGAAGGGCAGUAAGUUAAUACCUUGCUGUUUUGACGUUACCAACAGAAUAAGCACCGGCUAACUUCGUG
rnacentral:rRNA from 1 species